rnacentral:rRNA from 1 species
UACGUAGGGUCCGAGCGUUGUCCGGAAUUAUUGGGCGUAAAGGGCUCGUAGGCGGUUUGUCGCGUCGGGAGUGAAAACCAGCAGCUUAACUGCUGGCCUGCUUUCGAUACGGGCAGACUAGAGGCAGGCAGGGGAGAACGGAAUUCCUGGUGUAGCGGUGAAAUGCGCAGAUAUCAGGAGGAACACCGGUGGCGAAGGCGGUUCUCUGGGCCUGUUCUGACGCUGAGGAGCGAAAGUGUGGGGAGCGAACAGG